CGAAUGUCAAAUACCAGGAGAUUUUAUUAAUUAUCGAAAUCAACCUCAACUUCAAUGGAUUCAGUCUAAACACCAUUUGUGCAUUCCAUCCUACAAUGGGCCAUGGUGCGUCUGCGCAGUCGCGGCCAGAGCCGGAAGAGAUGUCUUCGUCAUAGACUUGUGUGGAGAAAACAACCUCAUCAGCUAUACACUAUGUGAGGACAAUGUUUUAAAAGUCACGAAAAUCUAUGACAGGUACUAUAAGAUAUAUUUCCCCACUGGAACAUCACUUUCAAUUUAUAUCAUGGAAUGGAGAGGA